rnacentral:lncRNA from 1 species
AGAGAGAGAGAGAGAGAGAGAGAGAGAGAGGCACGGGAAAGGAGAUCUGGCGGGUAUUGGAUUUUAGAGUGUUUUAAUUUCGGUGAGAAUUAGAUGAGUUUUGGAGUUGUCUGAGUGAUUCUUCUAGUAUAACUUUAAAACUAUCUUGGCACUAUGUACACUAAAAAAAUUUAAAAUAUUUUUUUAACAGAUAAAUAUAAAUUAUAUUUUGAAACAAAAUUUUAUUAAUAUUGUAAAUUUUAUUUUUCAUAUCAAUAUUUUAAUAAAAAUUUGAUUUAAUUAAACAUAAAAAU